CUAUCAUUAAUACUACAUUAACCGAUUCGUGGCCACUGCCGCGCCCAGCGCGUCAUUUAAAAAGAUUCAGUGAGGCCGAUGACUCGCCAGUCGCGGCAUACAAGGAUUGUUAAAAAACACGUUAAAACUAAUUUAUUAUACUGUAAUUACAAUUUCUUUGUCUAAAUGUACAUGUUGAACUCAAUUUUAUGCGUGGCCGUUUAUUUUAGAAUUAAAGGCUACUAGUCAGA